GUCGAACGAGUUCCCGUUGAUUGACGUGCUUGCACUGAUUUCAACAUUGGAACGAGUGGCGAACUGGUGAGUAACACGUGGAAAACCUGCCCAGAAGCAGGGGAUAACACUUGGAAACAGGUGCUAAUACCGUAUAACAACAAAAACCGCAUGGUUUUUGUUUGAAAGGUGGCUUCGGCUAUCACUUCUGGAUGGUUCCGCGGCGCAUUAGCUUGUUGGUGGGGUAACGGCUCACCAAGGCGAUGAUGCGUAGCCGACCUGAGAGGGUAAUCGGCCACAUUGGGACUGAGACACGGCCCAGACUCCUACGGGAGGCAGCAGUAGGGAAUCUUCCACAAUGGACGCAAGUCUGAUGGAGCAAUGCCGCGUGAGUGAAGAAGGGUUUCGGCUCGUAAAACUCUGUUGUUGAAGAAGAACGGGUGUCAGAGUAACUGUUGACAUCGUGACGGUAUUCAACCAGAAAGCCACGGCUAACUACGUGCCAGCAGCCGCGGUAAUACGUAGGUGGCAAGCGUUGUCCGGAUUUAUUGGGCGUAAAGCGAGCGCAGGCGGUUUCUUAAGUCUGAUGUGAAAGCCUUCGGCUUAACCGAAGAAGUGCAUCGGAAACUGGGGAACUUGAGUGCAGAAGAGGACAGUGGAACUCCAUGUGUAGCGGUGGAAUGCGUAGAUAUAUGGAAGAACACCAGUGGCGAAAGCGGCUGUCUAGUCUGCAACUGACGCUGAGGCUCGAAAGCAUGGGUAGCGAACAGGAUUAGAUACCCUGGUAGUCC
rnacentral:rRNA from 2 species